GAACAAGGGUCCACGAAUUAAAUCAUCCAUUCAUCAAUCAGGAAAAUACUUGCUAUGCUAACUCUUUUGCACAGCACUGUCAAUCGUCAAGCUUUUACAAUGUAGGUAUAUUGGACUAUCGGAGCUCCAAUCAACCUCAACAUAUCGGAUUUGCAGGAGUCUGAAUUGUUUUUAAGAUUUAAGAGAAAGCACCAAGUCCCAGUCGUAAUAAGAAAC
rnacentral:misc_RNA from 1 species